UACGUAGGGGGCAAGCGUUAUCCGGAAUCAUUGGGCGUAAAGCGCGUGUAGGCGGUUCCGUAAGUCUGCUCUGAAAGCCCAGGGCUCAACCCUGGGAGGCGGGUGGAUACUACGGAACUGGAGUACGGAAGAGGAGAUUGGAAUUCCUGGUGUAGCGGUGAAAUGCGCAGAUAUCAGGAGGAACACCAACAGCGAAGGCAGAUCUCUGGGACGUUACUGACGCUGAGACGCGAAAGCGUGGGGAGCAAACAGG
rnacentral:rRNA from 1 species